rnacentral:rRNA from 1 species
AACGAACGCUGGCGGCGUGCUUAACACAUGCAAGUCGAACGGUGAAGGGGAGCUUGCUCCCCGGAUCAGUGGCGAACGGGUGAGUAACACGUGGGCAACCUGCCCCAGACUUCGGGAUAACGCUUCGAAAGAGGUGCUAAUACCGGAUACGAACUCCUUGGGCAUCCUUGGGGUUGGAAAGUUUUUCGGUCUGGGAUGGGCCCGCGGCCUAUCAGCUUGUUGGUGAGGUAACGGCUCACCAAGGCGACGACGGGUAGCCGGCCUGAGAGGGCGACCGGCCACACUGGGACUGAGACACGGCCCAGACUCCUACGGGAGGCAGCAGUGGGGAAUAUUGCGCAAUGGGCGAAAGCCUGACGCAGCAACGCCGCGUGAGGGAUGACGGCCUUCGGGUUGUAAACCUCUUUCAGCAGGGAAGAAGCGAGAGUGACGGUACCUGCAGAAGAAGCACCGGCUAACUACGUGCCAGCCGCCGCGGUAACAC